rnacentral:lncRNA from 10 species
UGGAAUGAGGAGACGGAUGGAUGGCCGAACAUGGCAGGGCCCUGAGCUGAGGCUGGGUGCUGGGAGACCACAGACAGACUCUGUCCCUGCUCCGGAGGUGCCCAGAAGGUUCUGUGAACCAGGAUACAGCCGCCAAGAAGCAAGGUGUGCCUCUUCCAAAGGCGACCAAGAGGGGCCUAGAAGUGGCUCUGAGCCAACCUGACAGGAAAGUUGGCAGGUGAGGAAGGGGUU